CAGUAGCCGCGGUAAAACAGAGGGUGCGAGCGUUAAUUGGAUUUACUGGGCGUAAAGCGUGCGUAGGCGGCUAAUUGAGUCUGAUGUGAAAUCCCCGAGCUUAACUUGGGAAUUGCAUUCGAUACUGGUUAGCUAGAGUGUGGGAGAGGAUGGUAGAAUUCCAGGUGUAGCGGUGAAAUGCGUAGAGAUCUGGAGGAAUACCGAUGGCGAAGGCAGCCAUCUGGCCUAACACUGACGCUGAGGUACGAAAGCAUGGGGAUCAAACAGGAUUAGAUACCCCUGUAGUCCCUGUCUCUUAUAA
rnacentral:rRNA from 1 species